rnacentral:rRNA from 1 species
UACGUAGGGUGCGAGCGUUUGUCCGGAAUUACUGGGCGUAAAGAGCUCGUAGGUGGUUUGUCGCGUUGUCCGUGAAAACUCACAACUCAAUUGUGGGCGUGCGGGCGAUACGGGCAGACUGGAGUACUGCAGGGGAGACUGGAAUUCCUGGUGUAGCGGUGGAAUGCGCAGAUAUCAGGAGGAACACCGGUGGCGAAGGCGGCAUCCUGGACCGGCAUUGACGCUGAGGCGCGAAAGCUAGGGGAGCAAACGGG